UCUCUCUCUCUCUUCAGAUCGAUUAAGGUUUCGAUUCAUCUGAAAAAGAGAGAUAAAGGAAGAGUUGGGCAAGGACUCCAUUAAGCCCCUCGACGCUUGCUGCCUCUGCCUCAAGCCCUUCAUCGACCCUCUCUGCUGCCAGAAAGGCCAUGUCUUCUAUAAGGAAUGCAUUCUCGAAUGCCUCCUCUCUCAAAAGAAGGACAUCCAAAGUUGAUCCAGACUAUUGAUAUGGUGGGCAUUCUAGUAGAUGGACCAUAUGUGGAAAGCCUUGAGGAUUGGUUGACGUUGUAGAUCACACUAAGAAGAGGUUACAAGAUUUGGAAGAGAAUGUUAGAAUGCAACAAUCAGAUGUUUCAUUGGUAGGAGAGGUAAUGUUCUGCUUUCCUUUACUUAUGAGCCCAAUUUCAUGUGUAUAGUGGUUAUGUGUUGGAUAUAUUGCUCAAGUUGCAGUUGGUAUCCUCAUUGUAUGAUCUGUCCCUUGUUUAUCCUUGUGACCUUGAUUCAAGGUGAUGACCUGUAAGCAUUGAUUGCACUCUAGGUACUAGUGGUCAAUCAAAUGCUAGAUGAGCACCCAAUGAAUCUUGUUCCUUUUGGUCUACUCCAAUGAGAUAUUUUCUCCCUAAUUCACAAGAUCUUGGAGGACCUUGUUGAGUUAAGAGCAAUGCUAUGAGGCUGGCUUUCUCACCUUGCUUAGAUUCCAUCCUCUGUAGUUCAAUUCAUAGAAAUUUUAUUAGCAAUGUCAGCAACACGCAAGCAGCAACUUCAGGUAUAUUGCUGUUGGAGAUGAACCAUUACCCCAAAGCUAUGGAGAACAGUUCAAGCCCUUUAUCGUUGGUGCAACAACAAAUAUCCAGUUGGCGCAACAACUACCGGCACAUUUGAGACUAUCAUAACACGCGAUAUUCCUAGAACAGAUUGCCCAUUACUUUGCCGGAGCCAACGAAAAUGGGAGAAGGUGAUGCAAAUGAAUUAGCAAAGCUAAGCGAAUUUCAACAGGAAUUGAUGCAAAUGGCUGCCACUUCGAAUGGGGAUCACAGUAGAGAUGUCUGAUUGUAGUUGAGGGAUCCUGUUAUUGGUAUGAUUGCCUUUUGUGUUCUAUGAGUUGGUUCCUCAUUUCCAUCGCUUUCACCUGAUCUGAAACAUUAAAAUUUCAACAGCACUUCACCUUAGGAAAGGUGAAUAAUACAAUGAGCAAGUUUUGUUUCUUUUCUACUUUGAAACUAUCAAUGCAUUGACUCUGCUGGUCAAAGUUUUCUUGGAUUCAUAGUUAUUUUUAAUGACUAUUA